AGAGCCCAAACCGGGGUGCGUGCACCCCGGGGUUCGGACCGCGGGAUUGAUUUACCGAGAGUAGCAGAAUGGUUUUGGGAAAGCCAGCCAGAGAGGGUGAAAGCCCCGUAAGCGAAACUCGAAGUAACAUGGCGGUAUCCAGAGUAGGUCGAGACACGUGGAACCUUGACUGAACGAGCGGGGACCACCCCGUAAGGCUAAAUACUCCUUAGUGACCGAUAGCGCAUAGUACUGUGAAGGAAAGGUGAAAAGAACCCCGGGAGGGGAGUGAAAGAGAACCUGAAACCCUGUGUUUACAAGCUGUGGAAGAACUUUACAUGUUCAACCGCGUACUUUUUGUAGAACGGUCCGGCGAGUUACGCUGGCUGGCGAGGUUAAGGACUUUAGGUCCGGAGCCGAAGGGAAACCAAGUCUUAAUAGGGCGGUAAGUCAGUCGGAGUAGACCCGAAACCGGGUGAUCUAUCCAUGUCCAGGUUGAAGUUGCCGUAAAAGGCAAUGGAGGAC
rnacentral:ncRNA from 1 species